GACGAACGCUGGCGGCGUGCUUAACACAUGCAAGUCGAACGAAGUGGCGAACGGGUGAGUAACGCGUAAUCAACCUGCCCUUCAGAGGGGGACAACAGUUGGAAACGACUGCUAAUACCGCAUACUGAAGGAGGGGUUUGCGUCUGAUUGGCUAGUUGGAGGGGUAACGGCCCACCAAGGCGGAGAUAAGUAGCGGGUCUGGUGGGAUGAACGGCCCACUUGGGACUGGGACACGGCCCAGACUCCUACGGGGAGCAGCAGUGGGGAAUCUUCCGCAAUGGACGAAAGUCUGACGGAGCAACGCCGCGUGAGGGAUGACGGCCUUCGGGUUGUAAAGCUCUGUUAAUCGGGACGCGGUACCGGAAUAGAAAGCCACGGCUAACUACGUGCCAGCAGCCGCGGUAAUAC
rnacentral:rRNA from 1 species